rnacentral:misc_RNA from 1 species
AGAUCUCCUCUAACAGCUUACUAUAUUGAAAUGAGGGACCCUAAUAAUGGAUCCUGGUCUGCAGUCACCAAAGUGACCCGAGACAUCAGCAGCUACUGUUUCUUAUGAUUUUGUUUUAAGAUUGUCUAGAAAUGGUGUUUGGAACUGGAGAUAAAGAAGAUCCCCCAAGCAAAGAACUUAAAAAGCAAAGAGGUUUUAAAAGAAUAAGUGGAGAAAGAAAACCUAAUGGACAGCAGCUGAGAAAGCAGCAGUUAAGAGGCAAAUGGGCCAGUUUUUAAAUCUAAGGACCCUGCCAAAAAAACAUGACUGUGACCUGGCUCUUCAAAAAGAAGAGAGUUUGAAAAAUGGAACCUGGAAACAAGUCAAAGACUUUGUUAGAAAUACAAACUUGAAGCUACUUAAACAGUAGGAUUCAAAAAUGAAAUGUAUGAAGUGUUUAGUGUAAAUUGACUUGUUUCUAUAAUGAAAAGAAAUUUUAUAAUAUUCAGAACUAGAGACAGAUCAGAAAUGUAGUAUAUGUGCAUUGAUUUACUUGUUAGUUUUCUAGAGAGAGAGACAGAGGAGCUUUUGCUUUUGCUUUAAAAGUAAUUUUUAGUAUCUUUAUAAUGAUUUUGAAUAUUCAUUGUAAUAGUGGUUGUCUUAUGAAGAAAUUUUUAUGACAAGUAAAAUAAAGCUGUAAGCUCCUGUUAGCCUUCAUGAUACACAUAAACCUGAUAAAAGCCUUUUUAUAGUGACAGACUUUGUGUCUCAUGUAUAUCAUGUUGGACUGCCUAGUGACAUGAAUGCUAAAAAAUUGAUGAAAAUAAUGCCAGAUCUUAGCUGUUAUAUACAUGUAUUUAAUGAUCUUUCCAUAUGAAAUAUUUACUACAUAUAUGUACAAUAUCCUUAAGGAUUUAACCAUUUCAUGCUCUGUUUUGCAUGUACAUGAAGUUAAAAUGAAGGUGAAUUUGGAAUGAUAAAGAUCUACAGCAAGAGCAUAGUUGGCUAAGCUAUUGUUAAUAACGGUAAAUGAAUUCAGUCAAUGUUAUCUAUUUUAUAUUAAGAAUGAAUUUGCUAUGCUUAGUGUUCAAUUAGCUCUUGUUGAUAAAAGAAAUGUUAUUAAAGAUGUAUUU